rnacentral:rRNA from 1 species
CCUACGGGGGGCAGCAGUGGGGAAUAUUGGACAAUGGGGGGAACCCUGAUCCAGCCAUGCCGCGUGUGUGAAGAAGGCCCUCGGGUUGUAAAGCACUUUCAGCGAGGAAGAACGCCUGGUGGUUAAUACCCAGCAGGAAAGACAUCACUCACAGAAGAAGCACCGGCUAACUCCGUGCCAGCAGCCGCGGUAAUACGGAGGGUGCGAGCGUUAAUCGGAAUUACUGGGCGUAAAGCGCGCGUAGGUGGCUUGAUAAGCCGGUUGUGAAAGCCCCGGGCUCAACCUGGGAACGGCAUCCGGAACUGUCAAGCUAGAGUGCCGGAGAGGAAGGUAGAAUUCCCGGUGUAGCGGUGAAAUGCGUAGAGAUCGGGAGGAAUACCAGUGGCGAAGGCGGCCUUCUGGACUGACACUGACGCUGAGGUGCGAAAGCGUGGGUAGCAAACAGGAUUAGAUACCCUUGUAGUC